AUACAGAGGGUGCUAGCGUUAAUCGGAUUUACUGGGCGUAAAGCGUGUGUAGGUGGUUGUUCAAGUCAGUUGUGAAAUCCCUGGGCUUAACCUGGGAACUGCUUCUGAGACUGAACGACUAGAGUACGGUAGAGGAUAGUGGAAUUUCCAGUGUAGCGGUGAAAUGCGUAGAUAUUGGAAGGAACACCAGUGGCGAAGGCGACUAUCUGGAUAGAUACUGACACUGAGACACGAAAGC
rnacentral:rRNA from 1 species